GUGGGGAAUAUUGGACAAUGGGCGCAAGCCUGAUCCAGCCAUGCCGCGUGAGUGAUGAAGGCCUUAGGGUUGUAAAGCACUUUCACCGGUGAAGAUAAUGACGGUAACCGGAGAAGAAGCCCCGGCUAACUUCGUGCCAGCAGCCGCGGUAAUACGAAGGGGGCUAGCGUUGUUCGGAAUUACUGGGCGUAAAGCGCACGUAGGCGGACGCUUAAGUCAGGGGUGAAAUCCCGGGGCUCAACCCCGGAACUGCCUUUGAAACUCCCAGUCUUGAGUUCGAGAGAGGUGAGUGGAAUUCCGAGUGUAGAGGUGAAAUUCGUAGAUAUUCGGAGGAACACCAGUGGCGAAGGCGGCUCACUGGCUCGAUACUGACGCUGAGGUGCGAAAGCGUGGGGAGCAAACAGGAUUAGAUACCCUAGUAGUCC
rnacentral:rRNA from 1 species